CAUAAAACAACUGCUUUAUAUAAUUUUUUUCGCUUUAAUAUUCAUAUGUUCCUAAAUUCAAAGUUUGAAAAAAUAACUGUUUUUCUCCUUUAAAUAUAUUCAAUUUAUACGCAAGACGUUCGUUUCGUCUUCAAAAGACUGACCAGUGACACUCGUAUAAAAAUAAAAAUAGAAACGCUAAAUCAAGUACGAAGUUGAGGAACAUUUAGG
rnacentral:lncRNA from 1 species